UAUAUCUACAACUGUGAUUUUUAUCAUCAUUCAUCAUGAUAUCCACCGUAUCGAUUUUAAUGUACAAAUGACGACCACGACGUACUCGAUAUACCGACUACCGUCUUGUGUUUACAAGUUACAACUGUCUAUAAAUUUGUGGUUUAUUCAAGUAUUCAAGUACUAAAUCAAACUUGUAAUUUACACAUUUUAUUUUAAAUUUGCAAACUGCUCGUUAUCGUUGUGGGGUCAAGUUAUCAAUAGGGUGAAAUGUGUAUGCCUGAUUUUCAGAAACCCGCUGACGACUCACCAUUAUCUGACGAAGAAGGUGCACCUGAGGAGGAACAAAGUGACGAAGACAU